rnacentral:rRNA from 1 species
UACGGAGGGCGCAAGCGUUGUUCGGAAUUACUGGGCGUAAAGCGCGUGUAGGCGGCCAGGUAAGUCGGAUGUGAAAGCCCGGGGCCCAACCCCGGAACUGCACCCGAUACUGCCUGGCUGGAGUCCCGGAGAGGAUGGCGGAAUUUCCGGUGUAGAGGUGAAAUUCGUAGAUAUCGGAAGGAACACCAGUGGCGAAGGCGGCCAUCUGGACGGUGACUGACGCUGAGACGCGAAAGCGUGGGGAGCGAACAGG